AGAGAGAGAGGGAGAGAGGUAUGGGUUUUGGGGCAGAGAUAGUGAUGGCAAUGGCAGGUUUGUGGGGAGUUUUUCUGAGGCCAAUAAUGUUGAGAUUUGCAACAGAUAUUGCAGAAUGGAUGAGAUCCAGUAUUCGCCGGAUUCUCAGGGGAGGAAGCCCAAUUUUAGUUCUCUCUUCCUUUCAGCCUUACUCCUCUUCUUUAUACUAAUCACUGUUAUCCAUUAGAAGCUUUGCGCUUUGGCUUGUUUGCUCGCAUGACAGCUUCAGAGAAUGAACAAGAGAUCUCGAUUUGCUAUGUAUGGCUUGUGUUCUUGUGAAAAGGAAAACGCAAGUAACAAGCAGCUUCCUUUCUGUAUAUCUAAUGGAGAUGAAGUUGAGAACCUGAGCUUUUUGAUGAUGCGCUCAAUAUAGAAACUGACAGGGAAGCCUAAGUUCUUUGUUGUUCCAAGGGGCAUGGAGGAGAUAGUAGGCUACACCAAGAGUCUUGGUUGGGAGAGGGAAGGGGAAGAUCAAAGUUGCUGUCUUGCUGAGUGCCUGAGCUGAGACGCAGGUGGGAGGAUGGAGAAUGUAGGGUCUGACGACUAGGCUUAAGGAGGAAAUGAGUUUGCUCAAUCGGUGUUCACUUCCUUUGUUCCUUAAUGGCUUGAUCAGACUUACCAAAAAAAAAAAAAAAUAAAAAAUACCUUCGACCAGGGGCCAAACGGGCAGGGUAGCUUACCUUGCCUGUUGCCUGCCUUGCCCGUAUAAUAGCCCCGCUGAACAUGCCCAAAACAUGUCAGGCUGCAUUGUUUAGGCCAGACUGAGCAACAUUUUACUGGGCUCGAGAGGGCACACAGGGCAUCCAGGCUUUAUGAACACUCUUAAUUAAGACAAGAUACCAUAACAUGCCCAUGCAUAAUACUAGAAAUGGUAUUUGAACAAGCUUCAAAUAAAACAGUUCAUCUUGAUCGCGCCUAGAGUUUAGGAUUUAGAAUGCCUAUUUGCAAUUGUGUUUCUUCACCAUCUGGAUGAUCAGAUACAAGACUUGAAUAGAAUUUAGCCUAAAAAAUCUUGACUUGCAGCUUUGCUCAGAGCCAUAAUCUGAGCGAUGAGCACUAGAAUCUUUGGUUUCUGCAAUGAGCUUAACUAAUCUUCUUCAUAUGUUUUUCAA